GGGCGUUUGGCGCAGUGGUAACGCGCUCGUUGGUAAUUAGCCAUUGAAAAGUCUUGAACUGUAUUGUUGUGGGACAGGUUCACCUUUCCCCGAGUGCAUUGCCCAGAGCCAACAACUCUGCCAGCGGUGCCCAAGCCAACAACUCUACCAGCAAAAGACACCAGUGGUACCAAGAACGAGAGAUCGCAGGUUCGAACCCUGCAACGUCCA